rnacentral:rRNA from 1 species
AACGCGAAGAACCUUACCUACUCUUGACAUCCACGGAAUUUGGCGGAGAUGCCUUAGUGCCUUCGGGAACCGUGAGACAGGUGCUGCAUGGCUGUCGUCAGCUCGUGUUGUGAAAUGUUGGGUUAAGUCCCGCAACGAGCGCAACCCUUAUCCUUUGUUGCCAGCGAUUCGGUCGGGAACUCAAAGGAGACUGCCGGUGAUAAACCGGAGGAAGGUGGGGAUGACGUCAAGUCAUCAUGGCCCUUACGAGUAGGGCUACACACGUGCUACAAUGGCGUAUACAAAGAGAAGCGACCACGCGAGAGCAAGCGGACCUCAUAAAGUACGUCGUAGUCCGGAUUGGAGUCUGCAACUCGACUCCAUGAAGUCGGAAUCGCUAGUAAUCGUAGAUCAGAAUGCUACGGUGAAUACGUUCCCGGGCCUUGUACACACCG